GUGCUCGUUUUGGCAGCACAUAUACUAAAACUGGAACGACACAGAGAAGAUUAUCAUGACCCCUGAGCAAGGAUGACACGUAAAUUGGUGUACUUAUAUUUGAAAAUUCUU